AACGCACGAGACCUGCGGACCUGCGGAAGGAUCAUUAACAAAUCUGUGAUGUUGCGUUGCAAGACGUGACACCAUUUGCUCCAUGUGCAUGCUUUGUGCGCAUUGUGACAUUUCUGCGAAUCAUCUGAUACACCGACAAAGAAACAUGAACAACUUUUAGCAACGGAUCUCU
rnacentral:misc_RNA from 1 species